rnacentral:rRNA from 1 species
GAGUAGCGUUAAAGGGGGUGAAAAGCCCCCUCGCCGUAAGCGCAAGGUUUUCUACGCAACGUUCAUCGGCGUAGAGUGAGUCGGCCCCUAAGGCGAGGCAGAGAUGCGUAGCUGAUGGGAAACAGGUCAAUAUUCCUGUACCGAUAUACAGUGCGAUGUGGGGACGGAUCUUAAUAGGUCAUCCGGGUGUUGGAUAUCCCGGUUUAGUUGGAUGUAGGCGUGCAUUAGGCAAAUCCGGUGCACAUAUACCGAGGCCAACGAUCGAGCGAGCUUGCUCGCGAAGUGACUGAACGAGGUUCCAGGAAAAGCCACUAAGCUUCAGCUACACACGACCGUACCGCAAACCGACACUGGUGCGCGAGAUGAGUAUUCUAAGGCGCUUGAGAGAACUCAGGAGAAGGAACUCGGCAAAUUGACACCGUAACUUCGGAAGAAGGUGUGCCUUUAGUAGGUGAAGUCCCUGCGGACGGAGCCCAAUGAGGUUGCAAAAAAUCGGUGGCUGCGACUGUUUAAUAAAAACACAGCACUCUGCAAACACGAAAGUGGACGUAUAGGGUGUGACGCCUGCCCGGUGCUGGAAGAUUAAAUGAUGGGGUGCAAGCUCUUGAUUGAAGUCCCAGUAAACGGCGGCCGUAACUAUAACGGUCCUAAGGUAGCGAAAUUCCUUGUCGGGUAAGUUCCGACCUGCACGAAUGGCGUAACGAUGGCGGCGCUGUCUCCACCCGAGACUCAGUGAAAUUGAAAUCGCUGUGAAGAUGCAGUGUAUCCGCGGCUAGACGGAAAGACCCCGUGAACCUUUACUAUAGCUUUGCACUGGACUUUGAAUUUGCUUGUGUAGGAUAGGUGGGAGGCUUUGAAGCGUGGACGCCAGUUCGCGUGGAGCCAUCCUUGAAAUACCACCCUGGCAACUUUGAGGUUCUAACUCAGGUCCGUUAUCCGGAUCGAGGACAGUGUAUGGUGGGUAGUUUGACUGGGGCGGUCUCCUCCUAAAGAGUAACGGAGGAGCACGAAGGUUGGCUAAGUACGGUCGGACAUCGUACGGUUAGUGCAAAGGCAGAAGCCAGCUUAACUGCGAGACAGACACGUCGAGCAGGUACGAAAGUAGGUCUUAGUGAUCCGGUGGUUCUGUAUGGAAGGGCCAUCGCUCAACGGAUAAAAGGUACUCCGGGGAUAACAGGCUGAUACCGCCCAAGAGUUCAUAUCGACGGCGGUGUUUGGCACCUCGAUGUCGGCUCAUCACAUCCUGGGGCUGAAGCCGGUCCCAAGGGUAUGGCUGUUCGCCAUUUAAAGUGGUACGCGAGCUGGGUUUAGAACGUCGUGAGACAGUUCGGUCCCUAUCUGCCGUGGACGUUUGAGAUUUGAGAGGGGCUGCUCCUAGUACGAGAGGACCGGAGUGGACGAACCUCUGGUGUUCCGGUUGUCACGCCAGUGGCAUUGCCGGGUAGCUAUGUUCGGAAUAGAUAACCGCUGAAAGCAUCUAAGCGGGAAACUAGCCUCAAGAUGAGAUCUCACUGGGACCUUGAGUCCCCUGAAGGGCCGUCGAAGACUACGACGUUGAUAGGUUGGGUGUGUAAGCGCUGUGAGGCGUUGAGCUAACCAAUACUAAUUGCCCGUGAGGCUUGACC